GCAGCACGGGAGCAAUCCUGGUGGCGAGUGGCGAACGGGUGAGUAAUAUAUCGGAACGUGCCCAGUCGUGGGGGAUAACGCAGCGAAAGCUGUGCUAAUACCGCAUACGAUCUAUGGAUGAAAGCGGGGGAUCGCAAGACCUCGCGCGAUUGGAGCGGCCGAUAUCAGAUUAGGUAGUUGGUGGGGUAAAGGCUCACCAAGCCGACGAUCUGUAGCUGGUCUGAGAGGACGACCAGCCACACUGGAACUGAGACACGGUCCAGACUCCUACGGGAGGCAGCAGUGGGGAAUUUUGGACAAUGGGCGCAAGCCUGAUCCAGCAAUGCCGCGUGCAGGAUGAAGGCCUUCGGGUUGUAAACUGCUUUUGUACGGAACGAAAAGGCUUUGGUUAAUACCUGGAGCCCAUGACGGUACCGUAAGAAUAAGCACCGGCUAACUACGUGCCAGCAGCCGCGGUAAUACGUAGGGUGCGAGCGUUAAUCGGAAUUACUGGGCGUAAAGCGUGCGCAGGCGGUAAUGCAAGACAGAUGUGAAAUCCCCGGGCUUAACCUGGGAACUGCAUUUGUGACUGCAUUGCUGGAGUGCGGCAGAGGGGGAUGGAAUUCCGCGUGUAGCAGUGAAAUGCGUAGAU
rnacentral:rRNA from 1 species